AGCGAACGCUGGCGGCAGGCCUAACACAUGCAAGUCGAACGGACCCUUCGGGGUUAGUAGCGGACGGGUGAGUAACACGUGGGAACGUGCCUUUAGGUUCGGAAUAGCUCCUGGAAACGGGUGGUAAUGCCGAAUGUGCCCUUCGGGGGAAAGAUUUAUCGCCUUUAGAGCGGCCCGCGUCUGAUUAGCUAGUUGGUGAGGUAAUGGCUCACCAAGGCGACGAUCAGUAGCUGGUCUGAGAGGAUGACCAGCCACAUUGGGACUGAGACACGGCCCAAACUCCUACGGAAGGCAGCAGUGGGGAAUCUUGCGCAAUGGGCGAAAGCCUGACGCAGCCAUGCCGCGUGGAUGAUGAUGGUCUUAGGAUUGUAAAAUCCUUUCACCGGUGAAGAUAAUGACUGUAGCCGGAGAAGAAGCCCCGGCUAACUUCGUGCCAGCAGCCGCCGCCGUAA
rnacentral:rRNA from 1 species